UAGCUUCAGCGCCUGUUGCGUUCCAGUCACUUCCGGGGCGGAUCGGAAGUUGCUUUGUUUUGCUUCAAGAUGGCUGCGGGGAUGUAUUUGGAACAUUAUCUGGACAGUAUCGAAAACCUCCCCUUCGAACUGCAGAGAAACUUUCAGCUCAUGAGGGACCUGGACCAAAGAACAGAGGACCUGAAGGCUGAAAUUGACAAGUUGGCCACUGAGUAUAUGAAUAGCGCCCGCAGCCUGAGCUCCGAGGAAAAAUUGGCCCUCCUCAAACAGAUCCAGGAAGCCUAUGGCAAAUGCAAGGAAUUUGGUGACGACAAGGUGCAGCUUGCCAUGCAGACCUAUGAGAUGGUGGACAAACACAUUCGGCGACUGGACACAGACCUGGCCCGUUUUGAGGCUGAUUUGAAGGAGAAGCAGAUUGAGUCCAGUGACUAUGACAGCUCUUCUAGCAAAGGCAAAAAGAAAGGCCGGACUCAAAAGGAGAAGAAGGCUGCCCGUGCUCGUUCCAAAGGGAAAAACUCAGAUGAAGAAGCUCCCAAAGCUGCCCAGAAGAAGUUGAAACUUGUGCGCACAAGUCCUGAGUAUGGGAUGCCCUCAGUGACCUUUGGCAGUGUCCACCCCUCUGAUGUGUUGGAUAUGCCUGUGGAUCCCAACGAACCCACCUAUUGCCUUUGUCACCAGGUCUCCUAUGGAGAGAUGAUUGGCUGUGACAACCCUGAUUGUUCCAUCGAGUGGUUCCACUUUGCCUGUGUGGGGCUGACGACCAAGCCUCGGGGGAAGUGGUUCUGCCCACGCUGCUCCCAGGAACGCAAGAAGAAAUAGAUAGGGGCGAUGGAUUCCCACGGUUUCUUCCACAUCCCUGGACCCAGGCUAGUGGGGAGAGGAAAGCCUGUGCUGGGGCUCAGGGGCCCAGGGAGAGUGGAUGGCACAGUGUAGUCAUCCCUUCUCCUCCCCUCUCCCCACUCCUGGUGCUGAGGCUGCAUCCAAACCCUGGAAGGGAGGGGUGCCGCCGCUGCUAAACAUCUGUGCUCUCAUUGUCUGCCCCCCUCAGAGGGAAGUGGUCUUGCCCACUGUCCUUUUGCCUCCGUGCUGAGGUUGGUGCUGUAUUUCCAAGGGAUGGUCCUCUUCACUCCCCUUGCUUUGUAUUUAAGGACUGGGGCAGUAGCAUGGGGGCACUCCCUAGCCCUCCUGACUCCCUCCCCCUGUAGGGGGGUCUCUGGUGUGAUAAACUCUCUUUGUUCUCUUCCUGCUUUUUCCACGGUGGGGGCUCCCCCAGAGCAUCUGGGCUGUGGCCUUAGUUGAAGGGGUACCCCUUCCUCUGUGCCAAGAGAAUUCAUCCUGGCUUUGUGAAUGGGAGAGGGAGCAAGGUGGAGUGCACGUAACUCACGUGUAAAGCAACUUGAGUAGUGCUGCUCCUGCUUCUGCCACCUGCCCCAGCCCAGGAUUCAAUUUCGGCCUCCACUCCAGGCAGCCCUCUCUCUCCCACCGAAUAUGA